rnacentral:lncRNA from 1 species
AGAAACACUCUGCUACAGAACAAGUGUCUUGGUUCACAGCAAAGAGGACAAAGAAAACAGCAAGUUUUAGGGGGUUGAAUCCUGGAUUCCCCUGGCAAACACCAUUCUACUUUCCGUCUCUAUGAAUUUGACUACUCGAAGUACCUCAUGUGAAAUGUUGGUGCCAAAUGAACUUUUCUGGUUCUUCUGAAUAUGCCACUGUUGCUGGAGAAAUGUCACUGCUAGAGAACAGAAGACUAUUAUUCCAAAGGGUAUUUGAGACUGACUGAAUCAGGUCUGGAACAUUAUUGAAAUGAGACCCACAAAAGAAGAGAUACUGAGUGUAACUGGAUCUUGGUUCAUGCUGAGCUUAAAAUUUGAUCUUCUGAAUAUCAGCAGAAAGACUCUUUCUGGUGAAUACAGAUCUUCUGAGCAAUUAUCGACUGACUUUGUCAUUAGACUGCCCUUUCAGAAGGUACAAAAAAAGAAAAAGAAAAUUACUACUGUGAAGUGAAGUCUGAGCAACUGGGAAGAAAUGCAAGGUGAAAUGAAAUGGUGAAGUUGUCAGUGACAUGAAUCUUUGCUCCCUUCUUCAUGGAAUAUUUCUGAUCUAAUAGCCCCUAUAUUUCAAAAGAUGGAUAUAAACAUCAGAUGAAUAUCACAGGAAAGCUGGAUUGCUCUGCAGUGAGUGAAACGUGGAAAGGCCUUUCCCCACCAAGCAGUAGGCCAAAUUGUAACAGUAAGAUGUAUUUGAAAUAAAAUGGUUCAUAGAUCA